rnacentral:rRNA from 1 species
GAUGGCGACCGGCGCACGGGUGAGUAACACGUAUCCAACCUGCCGUCUACUCUUGGACAGCCUUCUGAAAGGAAGAUUAAUACAAGAUGGCAUCAUGAGUCCGCAUGUUCACAUGAUUAAAGGUAUUCCGGUAGACGAUGGGGAUGCGUUCCAUUAGAUAGUAGGCGGGGUAACGGCCCACCUAGUCUUCGAUGGAUAGGGGUUCUGAGAGGAAGGUCCCCCACAUUGGAACUGAGACACGGUCCAAACUCCUACGGGAGGCAGCAGUGAGGAAUAUUGGUCAAUGGGCGAGAGCCUGAACCAGCCAAGUAGCGUGAAGGAUGACUGCCCUAUGGGUUGUAAACUUCUUUUAUAAAGGAAUAAAGUCGGGUAUGCAUACCCGUUUGCAUGUACUUUAUGAAUAAGGAUCGGCUAACUCCGUGCCAGCAGCCGCGGUAAUACGGAGGAUUCGAGCGUUAUCCGGAUUUAUUGGGUUUAAAGGGAGCGUAGAUGGAUGUUUAAGUCAGUUGUGAAAGUUUGCGGCUCAACCGUAAAAUUGCAGUUGAUACUGGAUAUCUUGAGUGCAGUUGAGGCAGGCGGAAUUCGUGGUGUAGCGGUGAAAUGCUUAGAUAU